UAAUUAGUUGGCAACAGCAAAUCAUUAAUAGGGAAUUUGCUCGUGUAAAAUCAGUCUGUCCGUGUUCUUUUCAGUUCAUAACGUUGUUGCAGAAACACGUGGUGAAGAGUGUGAUUAUUGAAUUUAAAGCGAAGUACGAAAGUAAUUACAAUGCCUCUUGCUAAAGAUUUUCUUCAUCCAAGUCCAGCUGAAGAAAAAAGAAAGCACAAGUUAAAAAGACUUGUACAAAAACCAAAUAGCUAUUUUAUGGAUGUGAAAUGCCCUGGAUGUUAUGCCAUCAAAACCAUCUUUUCACAUGCACAGAGGUCGGUAGAAUGUGAUGGAUGUCGUACAAUAUUAUGCACAUCUACAGGUGGCAAAGCACGAUUGACAGAAGGUUGCUCAUUUAGGAGAAAGGUCCAAUGUUAAUGUAACCACGAUUAAGGCAACAUAAUGAUAUACACAGACAUUUCUCUUUAUAUUCAAUAAAUAAACAGAAUUAUUGUAAAAAUUAA